rnacentral:lncRNA from 1 species
GGCGCUCUCCAAGAGCACGCUACGGCACCUCACCACAGGGCACCCUCUCCAGAGACCCUUUGCAACCAGGCUGGCUGUUGCUUCAAGGCCAGCAGAAGAAUCACUUCUUUUCAGUUCACCAUGAUAGUCAUAAAUUAUAUUAGCCAGUCAAGAAUGCCGCUUUCCAUAUUCAUCACCUGGUCAUGUUCUCAAGCCUCCAGAUGGUCUCCAAAAGGUCCCUUCCCACAAGCUUUUGUGUGUUGUUUUGUAAUCCUGUAAUUUUAACCACGAUCCUGAGUGGCCAUAGGUUUGGAACCAUCCACUGGAGCCUGGUGGGCUCACCAUUUUGGCAAUCGAACGAAGGCAAUGACUGAUCAUCCCCCAGAAUCCAUCAGUUACAUCAAGGAAGGGUAGAGUCCCAUGAGUCUUCAUAAUUCUUGAUUGGCUGUUGACAGGCCCAGUCCGCACUUAACUUUUUAAGGAACUGCAAACUCUUUCCACAAAGAGUCUAUCCAAAAGACUAGGGUUUUGCUUUUGGUUGUCAUUUUUUGUUUGUUUUUGUUUGGUUUGGUUUUUCAAGACAUGGCUGGCUGGAACUCACUUUGCAGACCAGGCUGGGCCUCCAACUCAGAGAUCUGCUUGCCUCUGCUUCUGAGCACUGGGAUUAAAGGCAUGUGCCACCAAUGCUUGGCUCAGACCAG